rnacentral:rRNA from 1 species
CGGCAUGGAUUAGGCAUGCAAGUCGAACGAAGCAGCAAUGCUUAGUGGCGCAAGGGUGAGGAACACGUGAGUGACCUACCCGCAAGUUUGGAACAGCUCCUGGAAACGGGAAUUAAUACCGGAUGUGAUCAUGAAGCUGCAUGGUUUCAUGAUUAAGCAGCAAUGCGCUUGCGGAUGGGCUCGCGUCCCAUUAGCUAGUUGGUGAGGUAACGGCCCACCAAGGCCAUGAUGGGUAGCUGGUCUGAGAGGACGACCAGCCACACUGGGACUGAGAACUGCCCAGACUCCUACGGGAGGCUGCAGUCGAGAAUUUUGGGCAAUGGACGAAAGUCUGAACCCCCAGCAAUGCCGCGUGCGGGAUGAAGGUCUUCGGAUUGUAAACCGCUGUUUGGAGGGACGAAAAUUGACGGUACUUCCAGAGGAAGCCACGGCUAACUACGUGCCAGCCGCUGC